AGCCCACACUCAUAAGUCAUACCCUCACAUCCAUGCUGUAGUGUGAUUUCACCUCCUAUCAACGGUAGAAUGGCCUCUUUGGAUUGGGAGCGGAUCAGGUGUUAUCCUGGUAAUACCGCAGUGGGUGUCUCCGUGACUGUGGCUCAACUGUGUAAUAGGUUUUUUUAAUGCUAGAAGUUUUUAUAAUGGGCAAUUGACCCUACCAGAGAUUUGGAUUGCUUGAUUUUUGGAACAUGCUUUAAAAUGAGCUGGAAUAACUGAUAUAUGGCCUACAUUGGUGAUUUAAAAAUUAAAAGAAUGGUUAUCAUUCAUCAAGUCUAGAAUGUUGUAAGGUGGUCCUUAUUACAAUUAAAAUCAUUAGGCAUCCUGUUCAAAGAAAAUCAAUCAUAAAAAAAAUACUGAAAAGAUGGUUUUUAAAAGUAAAUAAUUGAAUCCAAACAAAUUAAAUUAGGUUGAAAAGCAAUUUUGAAAACAGAUAAUCCGGUACAAAAGCUUGCGUUAAUUUCAAACUCCUCGCCUGACAAAAUGGAAUGGCAAGUGCAAUUCAAGGAGAGGUUGCAUAUUGAGGUUGUUAGACCUUUCAAAAGACGAUUGUGCGAGAGCAAGAAAAGAGUUGAGGUUGUAGAAUCGGUUUUAAAAGAUUAAGACUACAAGAGGCACAUGAGCAAGAGCAAGAGAGACAAUUGAGACUGAGGUUAUAGCCCAACGAAGCGGUUUUAAAGGAUAUAAGAGUACAAGAGCAAGAGAAGGAACUCGAGUUUCAGUAGACGGACAGAUGGAUAGAUUGAGAGCGAGUGUACCGUCCUCAAAAGAGGGCCUUUGGAGCAGGAAAAAUAGUUUAAGAGGGUUGGUUGAUAGAGGUUGUUGCCAGACAAUAGUCUUAAAAGAUAUUGCUGAGCAAGAAAAGGAAAUUUCAAAAAGUUUCGAAGGACAGAUUCUCAGAUGAAGAGUGUACAACAAGAAAAAGAGUGCAUGAGCCCAAGAAUUAAGUUGGUUGGUGGAGAGUCUGUAGCCCAAGAACGCAGUCUUAUGCAUGAGCAGCGCAGCAGUCACAGAGGUUGAAGUUCUUAGGAGGAGAGAGGGUGGAGAUUGAUUCUGUUCAAGAACAGUCCCGUAAAGAAUGAAAGAGCAAGAAAAAAGAUUUCAAGAAUUGAAAAAUUAAUAGCACAAGAACAAGAAUUCAAAGGGGGAGAUUGAAGCUGUAGCCCGAGAAUUCAGUCUUAAAAGCUUGAAGAGCUUAGAAGGAGAGGGUGGAAAUUGAGUCUGCAAUAACAGUGCUAGACUAAGAAAAAGAGUUCAAGGAUAGGGUCUCAGAAGGGGAGUGCAAGAAUCUCAAAAAAUGAAAGAGCACAGGAGCAAGAAAAGGAAUUCGAAGGGGUGGAGAUUGAGGCUGUCGCUCAAGAUACAGUCUGGAAAGCUAAAAGAGCUUUAGAGAGAUGGUGUAGAUUGAAUUGAGCCUGUGCUCUAGCGGAUUGGAACAGUUGAGGGUAGAUACCCUUUCUUCCAAUACGUGGAAUUGUAGGGCAUUGACAUCCAUAUGGUGGAUGGAAAGUAAAGGGGCUAUUUUACCAAAUCACAAGUUCUACCAUGACACCUCUGCAGUUUC